rnacentral:pre_miRNA from 1 species
UCUUCAUUUCACGUGCUCUCUCACCAGUCGAAGUGACGAGAGAGUGUGCGGAAUGAAGAGA